rnacentral:rRNA from 1 species
UGGGGAAUCUUAGACAAUGGGGGCAACCCUGAUCUAGCCAUGCCGCGUGAGUGAUGAAGGCCUUAGGGUCGUAAAGCUCUUUCGCCAGGGAUGAUAAUGACAGUACCUGGUAAAGAAACCCCGGCUAACUCCGUGCCAGCAGCCGCGGUAAUACGGAGGGGGUUAGCGUUGUUCGGAAUUACUGGGCGUAAAGCGUACGUAGGCGGACUAUUAAGUGAGAGGUGAAAUCCCAGGGCUCAACCCUGGAACUGCCUUUCAUACUGGUAGUCUUGAGUUCGAGAGAGGUGAGUGGAAUUCCGAGUGUAGAGGUGAAAUUCGUAGAUAUUCGGAGGAACACCAGUGGCGAAGGCGGCUCACUGGCUCGAUACUGACGCUGAGGUACGAAAGUGUGGGGAGCAAACAGGAUUAGAUACCCUGGUAGUCCACACCGUAAACGAUGAAUGCCAGACGUCGGGUAGCAUGCUAUUCGGUGUCACACCUAACGGAUUAAGCAUUCCGCCUGGGGAGUACGGUCGCAAGAUUA